UACAGAGGUCCCAAGCGUUGUUCGGAUUCACUGGGCGUAAAGGGUGCGUAGGUGGUGAGGUAAGUCUGAUGUGAAAUCUCCGAGCUUAACUCGGAAAUGGCAUUGGAAACUACCUCGCUCGAGGAUUGGAGGGGGGACUGGAAUUCUCGGUGUAGCAGUGAAAUGCGUAGAUAUCGAGAGGAACACCAGUGGCGAAGGCGAGUCCCUGGACAAUACCUGACACUGAGGCACGAAAGCUAGGGGAGCAAACAGG
rnacentral:rRNA from 1 species